GACGAACGCUGGCGGCGUGCUUAACACAUGCAAGUCGAACGGAAAGGCCCUGCUUUUGUGGGGUGCUCGAGUGGCGAACGGGUGAGUAACACGUGAGUAACCUGCCCUUUACUUUGGGAUAACUUCAGGAAACUGGGGCUAAUACCGGAUAGGAGCUCCUGCUGCAUGGUGGGGGUUGGAAAGUUUCGGCGGUUGGGGAUGGACUCGCGGCUUAUCAGCUUGUUGGUGGGGUAGUGGCUUACCAAGGCUGUGACGGGUAGCCGGCCUGAGAGGGUGACCGGCCACAUUGGGACUGAGAUACGGCCCAGACUCCUACGGGAGGCAGCAGUGGGGAAUAUUGCACAAUGGGCGGAAGCCUGAUGCAGCAACGCCGCGUGCGGGAUGACGGCCUUCGGGUUGUAAACCGCUUUCGCCUGUGACGAAGCGUGAGUGACGGUAAUGGGUAAAGAAGCACCGGCUAACUACGUG
rnacentral:rRNA from 1 species